AUAUAUAUAUAUAUAUAUACUUUUUCAUAAAUGUUACGUUUUGUAAAUUUUAAAAAAUUAAUUAAAUUGUAAAUUAUAAAAUAUAAAAAAUAAAAUAGCGAAAAUGGUACUAUCAACAAGAAGAAAAAAAAAACCUCGCAAUACUAUAAAUUCUAAAUUUUUAAAAAUUAGGAAAAGAAAAAGAGACGUUGAUGAAAUAUACAAUGACUACCAUGAAAAAGGAGCUCCUAAACAUGAUGAGGAUGAACAGUGCGGUGCACUAAUUAAAUGCUAUGCUUGUGAUAUCAUUUUUAUAAGUGAAAAAGCAAAGGAGCAGCAUCAGAAGACGAAAAAACAUAAGAGACGAGUCAAGAUGUUAACUAAAGAAACACCAUAUACCUAUAAAGAUGCCCUUAAAGCUGCAGAAAUAACACUUUAGUCUAUGCAUAUGCAUGCGCAUACACAUACAUAUACACAUGAGUGUUGAUAAUACGUUAUGUACAUAUGUAUACAUACACGCACAUAUAUAUAAGUUUAUAAAAAUAGCACUUUUUUUUUUUUUUAAACAUUUGUUAAAGAAACAAGUUUUGUUAGUUUUAAAAAUAAAUACAAAUUAUAUAUAGUGUCA
rnacentral:lncRNA from 1 species